UGGGGGAUAUUGCACAAUGGAGGAAACUCUGAUGCAGCAACGCCGCGUGAGGGAAGAAGGUCUUCGGAUUGUAAACCUUAGUAGUCAGGGACGAAAGAAAUGACGGUACCUGAAGAGUAAGCUCCGGCUAACUACGUGCCAGCAGCCGCGGUAAUACGUAGGGAGCGAGCGUUGUCAGGAUUUACUGGGUGUAAAGGGUGCGUAGGCGGGACUGCAAGUCAGACGCGAAAUACCGGGGCUUAACCUCGGGGCUGCGUUUGAAACUGCGGUUCUUGAGUGAAGUAGAGGCAGGCGGAAUUCCUAGUGUAGCGGUGAAAUGCGUAGAUAUGAGGAGGAACACCAGUGGCGAAGGCGGCUUUCUGGACUGUAACUGACACUGAGGCACGAAAGCGUGGGGAGCAAACA
rnacentral:rRNA from 1 species